rnacentral:rRNA from 1 species
AGAGUUUGAUCCUGGCUCAGAACGAACGCUGGCGGCAGGCCUAACACAUGCAAGUCGAACGACGUAGCAAUACAUAGUGGCGCACGGGUGAGUAACGCGUGGGAAUGUACCGUUUAGUGGGGGAUAACUUCGGGUAACUGGAGCUAAUACCGCAUACGCCCUUCGGGGGAAAGAUUUAUCGCUAAACGAUCAGCCCGCGUGAGAUUAUGGUAGUUGGUGGGGUAAUGGCCUACCAAGCCUACGAUCUCUAGCUGGUCUUAGAGGACGACCAGCCACACUGGAACUGAGACACGGUCCAGACUCCUACGGGAGGCAGCAGUGGGGAAUAUUGGGCAAUGGGCGAAAGCCUGACCCAGCCAUGCCGCGUGAGUGAUGAAGGCCUUAGGGUUGUAAAGCUCUUUCGCCGAUGACGAUAAUGACGGUAGUCGGAGAAGAAGCCCCGGCUAACUUCGUGCCAGCAGCCGCGGUAAUACGAAGGGGGCUAGCGUUGUUCGGAAUUACUGGGCGUAAAGCGCGCGUAGGCGGCGCAGCAAGUCAGUGGUGAAAUCCCGGAGCUUAACUUCGGAACUGCCAUUGAAACUACUGCGCUGGAAUCUCAAAGGGGAUAGCGGAAUUCCAAAUGUAGGGGUGAAAUCCGUAGAUAUUUGGAGGAACACCGGUGGCGAAGGCGGCUAUCUGGAUGAGUAUUGACGCUGAGGCGCGAAAGCGUGGGGAUCAAACAGGAUUAGAUACCCUGGUAGUCCACGCUGUAAACGAUGGAUGCUAGUUGUUGGGGGGUUCCCUCUCAGUGACGAAGCUAACGCAUUAAGCAUCCCGCCUGGGGAGUACGGCCGCAAGGUUAAAACUCAAAGAAAUUGACGGGGACCCGCACAAGCGGUGGAGCAUGUGGUUUAAUUCGAGGCAACGCGAAGAACCUUACCAGGCCUUGACUUGUCCUUUUUGGAUUGCAGAGAUGCGAUCCUUCACUUCGGGUGGGAGGAACACAGGUGCUGCAUGGCUGUCGUCAGCUCGUGUCGUGAGAUGUUGGGUUAAGUCCCGCAACGAGCGCAACCCUCGUCCUUAGUUGCCAUCAUUCAGUUGGGAACUCUAAGGAAACUGCCUGUGAUAAGCAGGAGAAAGGUGGGGACGACGUCAAGUCAUCAUGGCCCUUACGGCCUGGGCUACACACGUGCUACAAUGGCGGUGACAAUGGGCAGCGAGCGCGCAAGCGUCAGCCAAUCCCUAAAAACCGUCUCAGUUCGGAUUGCACUCUGCAACUCGAGUGCAUGAAGCUGGAAUCGCUAGUAAUCGUAGAUCAGCAUGCUACGGUGAAUACGUUCCCGGGUCUUGUACACACCGUCCGUCACACCAUGGGAGUUGCUUCUGCCUUAAGCAGGUGAGCCAAUCUGGCAGCCUACCACGGCAGGGGUAAUGACUGGGGUGAAGUCGUAACAAGGUAGCCGUAUCGGAAGGUGCGGCUGGAUCACCUCCUU